rnacentral:rRNA from 1 species
UACGUAGGGGGCAAGCGUUGUCCGGAAUCAUUGGGCGUAAAGAGCGUGUAGGCGGCUUGGUAAGUCCGCUGUGAAAGUCCAGGGCUCAACCCUGGAAAGCCGGUGGAAACUGUCAAGCUUGAGUCCGGGAGAGGGUAGUGGAAUUCCUGGUGUAGAGGUGAAAUUCGUAGAUAUCAGGAGGAACACCGGUGGCGAAGGCGGCUACCUGGACCGGUACUGACGCUGAGACACGAAAGCGUGGGGAGCAAACAGG